GAGGGGUGCAAGCGUUAUUCGGAUUUAUUGGGCGUAAAGGGUGCGUAGACGGUUGUUAAGUUGUUGUUAAAUUCUCCGGGCUUAAUCGGGAGGGUCAGCGAUGGAAACUGAUAAACUAGAGGAUGGAAGAGAGAAGUGGAAUUCCCGGAGUAGCGGUAAAAUGCACAGAUCUCGGGAGGAACACCAAUGGCGAAGGCAGCUUCUUGGUCCAUAUCUGACGUUGAGGCACGAAAGCGUGGGGAGCAAACAGGAUUAGAUACCCUGGUAGUCCACGCCGUAAACGAUGAUCACUAGAUGUUGGUUUGGCUUAGCCGAAUCAGUAUCGUAGCUAACGCGUUAAGUGAUUCGCCUGGGGAUUACGGUCGCAAAGACUAA
rnacentral:rRNA from 1 species